rnacentral:rRNA from 1 species
CCUACGGGGGGCAGCAGUGAGGAAUAUUGGUCAAUGGACGAGAGUCUGAACCAGCCAAGUAGCGUGAAGGAUGACUGCCCUCUGGGUUGUAAACUUCUUUUAUAUGGGAAUAAAAUGUUCCACGUGUGGGAUUUUGUAUGUACCAUAUGAAUAAGGAUCGGCUAACUCCGUGCCAGCAGCCGCGGUAAUACGGAGGAUCCGAGCGUUAUCCGGAUUUAUUGGGUUUAAAGGGAGCGUAGGUGGAUUGUUAAGUCAGUUGUGAAAGUUUGCGGCUCAACCGUAAAAUUGCAGUUGAAACUGGCAGUCUUGAGUACAGUAGAGGUGGGCGGAAUUCGUGGUGUAGCGGUGAAAUGCUUAGAUAUCACGAAGAACUCCGAUUGCGAAGGCAGUUCACUGGACUGCAACUGACACUGAGGCUCGAAAGUGUGGGUAUCAAACAGGAUUAGAUACCCGGGUAGUC